UUUGUGUCAAGCAAAGCACGGAAACCCCCUGAAUUUAAGCAUAUAAAUAAGGGGAGGAAAGCAAACUAAAAAGGAUUCUCAUAGUAACGGCGAGUGAACUGAGAAAAGCUCAAGUCUGUAAUCCUCUUGGUUCAUCCAAGAAGACAUGUGGCUUGUGGAGACAUGUCCAGAGUGUGGCCCAGGUCUAAGUUUACUGAAAAGUGACGCGAUGCAGGGUGACAGCCCCGUUCAUGACUUGGAGUUCGCCUCGUACGGACUGUUUUCUGAGAGUCGGAUUGCUUGGGAGUGCAAUCUUAAUGGGAGGUAAAUUCCUUCCAAGGCUAAAUAUUUCCAGAAAACCGAUAGAACACAAGUACCG
rnacentral:rRNA from 1 species